AAGAUUUUAAGUUAAUUAAACUUAAAACCUUCAAAGUUUUAUAUAUAUAUAUAAAAAAUUAUUAAAUUAUUUAAAUCUUA
rnacentral:tRNA from 1 species